UCUGAUGUUAGCGGCGGACGGGUGAGUAACACGUGGGUAACCUACCUAUAAGACUGGGAUAACUCCGGGAAACCGGGGCUAAUACCGGAUAAUAUUUUGAACCGCAUGGUUCAAUAGUGAAAGACGGUUUCGGCUGUCACUUAUGGAUGGACCCGCGCCGUAUUAGCUAGUUGGUGAGGUAACGGCUUACCAAGGCGACGAUGCGUAGCCGACCUGAGAGGGUGAUCGGCCACACUGGAACUGAGACACGGCCCAGACUCCUACGGGAGGCAGCAGUAGGGAAUCUUCCGCAAUGGGCGAAAGCCUGACGGAGCAACGCCGCGUGAGUGAUGAAGGUCUUCGGAUCGUAAAACUCUGUUGUUAGGGAAGAACAAAUUUGUUAGGAACUGACCGGGUCUUGACGGUACCUAACCAAAAAGCCACGGCUAACUACGUGCCAGCAGCCGCGGUAAUACGUAGGUGGCAAGCGUUAUCCGGAAUUAUUGGGCGUAAAGCGCGCGUAG
rnacentral:rRNA from 2 species